UCCCUGGUGGUCUAGUGGCUAAGGAGCCCGUGCUCUCACUGCCAUGGUCCAAGUUCAAUUCCUGGGCAGGGAA